rnacentral:lncRNA from 1 species
UCAUUUGUUAAGCAUCCCAAAAUUGUUAAGCAUCCCAAAAUUGUUAAGCUUAUAAGUUUCUAAGCUUUUGAGAGAAGUGUGUCCGGGGAAUUUAUCUUUCCUGCAGAGUGUGAGAGUAUUAGGUAUAUUUGAGUUUCUGAGAAGUGAGAUUCGUUACUCAAAUAUUUGUACUCUAUUAAUUGUUAAAUAAACAAUUAUUCUUUCUUGCCUCUGUGGAUGUAGGUUUAAUUACCUAACCACGUUAAAUAAUCGUGUCCUUUAUUUUUCUGUAAUUAUUUGGUGCGUUUGAUUCCGCAAUCCGCGCACAACAAUUAUGUCCUUGUGCGUUUGAAAAUGGCAGGUCAGGUGCCUAAGUAGUGUAGCAGUGCUGAUGGAGGUGAAUGAGAAAAACUUUCACAAAAGGGAGGUGAUCAAAUUAAAAGGAACUGAAACUAUAUAUCCAGGUCAGGUUCGUUGGCAUGUAAAUGAUGGAUGCAUGGCUGUCAUGAAAAGCUGAAGUUGUUACCAGUGUCAAAGCUAGCAAUAUGUUUUGGGAGGCGGAAUUUUUUUUCCCCCUAAUACAAUCCUUUUCUAUUAUAUGAGAG